rnacentral:rRNA from 1 species
UACGGAGGGUGCAAGCGUUAAUCGGAAUUACUGGGCGUAAAGCGUGCGCAGGCGGUUUGUUAAGUCUGUUGUGAAAUCCCCGAGCUCAACUUGGGAAUUGCAAUGGAUACUGGCAGGCUGGAGUAUGGUAGAGGAAGGUGGAAUUCCCGGUGUAGCAGUGAAAUGCGUAGAGAUGUGGAGGAACACCGAUGGCGAAGGCAGCCCCCUGGGUCAAGAUUGACGCUCAUGCACGAAAGCGUGGGGAGCAAACAGG